AAGAUUAAGCCAUGCAUGUCUAAGUAUAAGCAAUCUAUACAGUGAAACUGCGAAUGGCUCAUUAAAUCAGUUAUCGUUUAUUUGAUAGUGCAUUACUACAUGGAUAACCGUGGUAAUUCUAGAGCUAAUACAUGCGUAAAAUCCCGUCUGGGAUGUAUUUAUUAGAUAAAAACCAAUGUCUUCGGACUUUUUGGUGAUUCAUGAUAACUUCUCGAAGCGCAU
rnacentral:rRNA from 1 species